ACGGAAGGCAGCAGUGGGGAAUAUUGCACAAUGGGCGAAAGCCUGAUGCAGCUAUGCCGCGUGUAUGAAGAAGGCCUUAGGGUUGUAAAGUACUUUCAUCGGGGAGGAAAAAACAAAACUAAUAAUUUUAUUUCUUGACGUUACCCGAAAAAGAAGCACCGGCUAACUCCGUGCCAGCAGCCGCGGUAAUACGGAGGGUGCUAGCGUUAAUCAGAAUUACUGGGCGUAAAGAGCACGUAGGUGGUUUUUUUAAAGUCAGAUGUGAAAUCCCUGGGCUUAACCUAGGAACUGCAUUUUUGAAACUGAAAUACUAGAGUAUCGUAGAGGGAGGUAGAAUUCUAGGUGUAGCGGUGAAAUGCGUAGAUAUCUGGAGGAAUACCUGUGGCGAAAGCGGCCUCCUAAACGAAUACUGACACUGAGGGUGCGAAAGCGUGGGGAGCAAACAGGGAUUAGAUACC
rnacentral:rRNA from 1 species